rnacentral:rRNA from 1 species
UACGAAGGGGGCUAGCGUUGUUCGGAAUUACUGGGCGUAAAGCGCACGUAGGCGGAUACUUAAGUUAGGGGUGAAAUCCCGGGGCUCAACCCCGGAACUGCCUUUGAUGCUGGGUAUCUGGAGUCCGAGAGAGGUGAGUGGAAUUCCGAGUGUAGAGGUGAAAUUCGUAGAUAUUCGGAGGAACACCAGUGGCGAAGGCGGCUCACUGGCUCGGUACUGACGCUGAGGUGCGAAAGCGUGGGGAGCAAACAGG